UCCAAGGUUGUCUUGUCUCUAUCGAUCCCC
rnacentral:piRNA from 1 species